GAUGAACGCUAGCGGCAGGCCUAACACAUGCAAGUCGAGGGAGAAGCCCUUCGGGGCAGAAACCGGCGCACGGGUGCGUAACGCGUAUGCAACCUACCUUUCACAGGGGGAUAGCCCGAAGAAAUUUGGAUUAAUACCCCAUAAUAUUAUUGGAUGGCAUCAUUUGAUAAUUAAAAUUACGAUGGUGAAAGAUGGGCAUGCGUCCUAUUAGCUAGUUGGAGUGGUAACGGCACCCCGAGGCUACGAUAGGUAGGGGUCCUGAGAGGGAGAUCCCCCACACUGGUACUGAGACAGGGACCAGACUCCUACGGGAGGCAGCAGUGAGGAAUAUUGGUCAAUGGUCGGAAGACUGAACCAGCCAUGCCGCGUGCAGGAAGAAUGCCUUAUGGGUUGUAAACUGCUUUUAUAUGGGAAGAAUAAGGAGUACGUGUACUUUGANGACGGU
rnacentral:rRNA from 1 species